AGGGAGGAGUUUUUGGGGGUGGUUUGGGGGGUGUUGUUUUGUUUUUGUUCCAGUGUUUGUUGUUUAUCCUGGGCUGGUCCAGAACUGACAACAACCACCUUCCCUCAGCCUCCAGAAUGCAGACACACCACACACAGCCAGCAGUGGGUCAGCGUGGGCAGGACAGGAUCUACAGAUGGCUACAAUGAGCACAGCAGUCACCCGGUGAGACAGCAGAGUUGGGCAAGGCACCUGUGAAGUUCAAGGCAGAAGUCUAGGAAUCUCUCAGACAUAAGGUUCCGGGGUCCCCUGGAAUCCUCUGUAGCUGUCUUCCCAAGUGAGGCUGGCCCAGCCACUUCCAGCUGGGUAGCUCAAUAUAAACUUCUGGGGAGUCCACACAGAGGAGAAAUGCUGGCGCACAGGUCUCUGGAGCAGCUGACACCUGGCUCCCAGGAAUCUGAGCCCAGCCACUCAUCUCACAGCACAGCACACAUGUCUCUCCCCUGCCUGCCUACCCUCCACUACUGUUCAGUGUCCAGGGAGCUCAGACACUGGCCCCAUUUCUUUCACACCCAUGCAUUCUUCCAGGCCUGGGCUUGCACAAUCCCCUCUGCCUGCAUUAUUUCUUCACCACCCAGCCUUUCCAGCCUGCUCCAAAGGACAGUCUCUGACUCCCAGGUCACAGUUGGAUCACGUGCUUCCUCUCAACCCGACCCAGACAAGGCCAGGGUCUGAUUCCCCUGUGUCUCAAAGGUAGCACAUAGUAAACAGCUGAUAACUGGGUGGGCAUUUCCUGGUUGACACAUGAAGCAGGAACUGCAGGUCAGCGAGCGGCUUUCCGGGCAUGGGGACUUUUUAUUCUACUGCACCUGAUACAAUUCUACCUCCUGCCCUGACUUACCAGCACUACCGGAGCCCUAACCACUCUCUCCUAACACACCGAGCAGUGCCUCACCAAACUCUUCCCAUUUCCAGAAGAGAGUGCCCUCGGUGGCUGGAAGAAGGCAUUAGAUCCCCUGGAACUGUUAGAGACAGUUGUGAGCUGCCAUUUGAGUGCUGGAAAUUGGACCUGAAUCUUCUGGAAAAGCAGCCUGUGCUCUAAGUCACUGAGCCAUCUCUCCAGACCUGAAAAUGUGGGUUUUCAGGCCACAGGAAGUGUCCUGGUCAGGUCCCUGGAUGUUCAGACUCCCUAGGCUGACCACUACCACUGAUCGAGCCCGAGACUGUCCCAUUGGUUUCUCUCUGGUGCUGUCCACAUAUGGGACAGGUAGACCUAGGAAGAGGAGGAAAAAUAUGUCUGGAGAGAUGGAUGCCAGUGGGGGAGACCCUGGCUCCUAGGAGGCUACAGAACAAGAACAUUUCAGCCUUAAAGUGUCCUGUCCUGGGUAUGCAGCCACCUACUGCAGCCUGGUCUGGCCAGACAAGACUCCGGUGGGGUCCUGGGCCACUAAGAUUCCAGAAACUCCGGCUCUCUACCCUCAGAUGAUGACGGAGGAAUGGCCCUGAGAGGUCUUCACAAAACAAAAUGAGGUCUGCACCUGUCCACGCCUGUCUCUGGGUUCUGCUGAAUUUCUUCUACCCUAUAAUGACGCUGCUAGGAGCCUAGGCUUCCCUUAGCAGGACAGUCACAACUUUCCAAGUACAGGUUAUCAGGGUCCCCUGGACCCAACAGUAGUCAAAUCCUUACCUGAGCAUCCCCAAGUCUAACCCUGAAUCCCGAACCCCCAGUCUAGGCAUUAGGGAAGCUUUCCCUAAGACACUGAAUUUAGAGAAACAUAAGUCAGACAACCUGGCUCCUAAUCACCCAGCACCCAAAUCUACCCACGGAGAUCUGUGUCCAAACACCUACCCGCCUCCUCCCCAAAAGCCCCCAUCCCCCGCUGCACUGCAAACCUGCUCUAAGCCCAUCCACCCAUUCCCAGCCUGACCCCAUUCAACGAACACACCCCUUCUUUCCUGGCAACUGGGCCAGGUAAGCUCUAGAGAAACCAUGCCCCCAUUAACUGGUGGGGAAUUGAGGUGCGGAGGACGGAAGUAGCUUGCCCAAGGUUACCAACACCUCAGGUCCAGGGCUAAAGUCCUAAAGCUUUGCGAGGCUGUACCAAAGCCUCAGGUCCACGGCUAAAGUCCUAAAGCUUUGCGAGGCUGUAAGAAUGUCCGGGGUAGACUAGGUAGAAGUCUUCAUUUCUCAAGUGGGAAAGCCAAGCUGCCUGACGCUACUGGCUCCGGAGCCUGCAAGCCCUAAAGCAGAAGAGCUGACGGCUGAAAGCUGGUGUCCACCAGCUCACUUUCUCUGUCCCUACGAGUCUGGCUAGAUGACUUCACCUCCAGAGGCGACCCCACUUCACUUCAUCCCCAGGCAAGAGCGCGCACCAGAUGACCCCGGGAAAAUUGAGCGGGUGGGGGUGGGGGGCUCACCAUUCCCUUCUGAGGAAUGGGGGCAGUGCAAGCCACAACUGGCGAUUGGGAGGUCCCAGCAACCUCACUGACCUGUUUUGAGCGAAGAGAACUCCACGAGGUGGGACUCGGGGUCCCGGUACCGUCUGUCACACGCGGCCGCAGCCAACUCGCGGCAGCGGUCCGGGCGCGCCCACCUCGCUCGGCGCUUCCGCCCGCCCCACGUGACACCGGGGGACGUGAGGGCGGGGAACGGGCAGGGAGCCGGCCGGUCCCGCCCCCAGCCUAGUCCGGAUCUUCAAUACCCUAGGCAGACCGGACCGCCGGGUUUGUGUCUCUCCUUUAUCCUUAGCUUGCUAAGGCUUUGAGGCUCAUGUCUAGUCUAUCCUGUCCCUGCUGAGACUCCACGGAUCCUUGAGUCUCCAUGCCUCGACACCCCUGUUCUGGACUGCAUCUCCCUGCAGAAGGCGCUGGGAAAGGCCCACCAGAGUCUGGCAGCUUCUCACCUCCUCCCCAGAGAGAUGAAAUCCCUAGACUUGGCAGGAACAGUGGGCAUAUUUGGAAGAACAGUCAUCAGCAGGGUGGGUCAAGGGGCUUUUGCCCUGAAAGGAGGAAGAUGCCCUUUAAUCAGAGCCUAUUACAUGCCUGGUCCAGUGGUGAACAAUUUGUUCUGAUUAAUUAAAAAAAAAAAAAAACUCACACUUGCAUAAGGGUAAAAAUUAUCACCCUAGGUUAUAGGUUAGGAAAUGAGAGUCUGACAUUCUCAGGGUGUUCUCAAAGCCAUUAUGGGCAGACCUAGGGCUGGAUGUUCCAGGUGACAGGGUCCUGUCCAGGCCUCUCCACAGAAACUGUUCUCUGGGAAACACUUGACUGUUAGCCCAGUAAGGUUUUCCACUGGCAGGGCUUUCCAGGAGAGGUGAAUAGGGUCAGAUCUUGAGUUCUUUCCAGACCCCAAGUUCUUGUGGUGCCAAAAAUACCAGAGAAAAGCAGGGCCUAAGACUAACUCUGGGACUCGGCAUCCCUUGGACAGCAGAGGCAGCCCAGGCUUCCCUCUAGAUCUCAGAGCAGCUAGGCAUAAGUGAGGGUUGACACUUGGUCAGGGGACCUCACGAUUCCUGUGACCAGCCUAAGGUCUUUAACACUAAGUGCAGUGGAAGUGUCUUCACCAGUACCCACCCCUCCC